rnacentral:rRNA from 1 species
AACGAACGCUGGCGGCAGGCUUAACACAUGCAAGUCGAACGGACGUAGCAAUACGUCAGUGGCAGACGGGUGAGUAACACGUGGGAACGUCCCCCUCGGUUCGGAAUAACUCAGGGAAACUUGAGCUAAUACCGGAUACGUCCGAGAGGAGAAAGAUUUAUCGCCGAGGGAUCGGCCCGCGUCUGAUUAGCUAGUUGGUGAGGUAAUGGCUCACCAAGGCGACGAUCAGUAGCUGGUCUGAGAGGAUGAUCAGCCACACUGGGACUGAGACACGGCCCAGACUCCUACGGGAGGCAGCAGUGGGGAAUAUUGGACAAUGGGCGCAAGCCUGAUCCAGCCAUGCCGCGUGAGUGAUGAAGGCCUUAGGGUUGUAAAGCUCUUUUGCCAGGGAAGAUAAUGACUGUACCUGGAGAAUAAGCCCCGGCUAACUUCGUGCCAGCCGCCGCCGUAACAC